UAAGUGAUGAUCCACGAUUAGAAUCACUUAAAUUAUAAAUUUGUAUAUCGUUGUAGUUGAAUAUUUUUAUAAAAUUAAAAUAUUCAUAAUUUAAAUUUUAAAAAAAAUCAAAUCAAGGUGCAGUUUAUAUUUAAGAAGAAAUGGGUUACAAUAAUAAAAAUUUUAGAAUUUAAAUUUAAAAUUGGAAUGAAAUUGGAUUUAAAUGUAAUUUUAUUAAUUUAAUUAAAAUGAUUAUAGCUCUAAAAUAUGUACAUAUUGCCCGUCGCUCUCAAUUAAAUUGAGAUAAGUCGUAACAUAGUAAAUGUACUGGAAAGUGUAUUUAGUUUACUCAAAUUAGAGCUUGUAAAAGUAUUUUAUUUACAUUAAAAGGAAAAUUAUUUAUUAAUUUAAUGAAUUAAAAAAAUUAUUUUUUGAAUAUUUUAUAAUUAAAAUAAAAUUAUGUUAAAUUAUUAAAUUUAGAAAUUAAUAAUUUUUAUUAUAGUAAAUUAGUAUCGAAAGAGAAUUUUUUUAAUUUUAAAAAAGAAGUAUUUAAUUUAUGUACCUUGUGUUUCAGGGUUUUUUUAAUAAAAAUUAAUAAAAUUAAUUUUCUCGAAUUUAAAAGAGUUAAUUUUUAAUAUAUUUUUUUGUUGAAUAAAAAUUUAAAAUUAAAAAUUAGUAAUGAAACGUUAUUCGUUUUUUAAGAUAUCUAGUUUUAAAAGAAAAAAAUUUAAUUUUUUUAGUAUAAUAUUAUUAAUUUAAUAAUUUUAAAAAUUAUGCUAAUAAUAUUAAUAGGGAUUAGCUUAUUGAUAAAGUAAUAAAAAUUUAUAAAUUAAAUAAAAAUUUUGUAGAAUUAAUAAUAUUUUUCAUUUAGUUUGUUAUAAUUAAUUUAAUAUUUUUAAAAAAUUUUUAUAAAUUUUAUUUAUUUUAUUUUAAUAAAAAAUUUAAUUAAUUAAAAUUUUUGUAAUAAUGAUAAAAUUAGUAUAAUAAAAUGUAAUUAAUAAAUAAAAUUAUUAUAUGAUAAGAAGGAAUUCGGCAAAUAAGUUUUCGCCUGUUUAUUAAAAACAUGUCUUUUUGAGUUUUAUUUAAAGUCUAACCUGCCCAAUGAAUAUAUUUAAUGGCCGCAGUAUUUUGACUGUGCAAAGGUAGCAUAAUCAUUAGUUUUUUAAUUGAAAGCUGGAAUGAAAGGUUGAACGAAAAAUUUACUGUCUCUUUAUUAAUUUAUUAGAAUUUUAUUUUUUAGUAAAAAAGCUUAAAUUUAUUUAAAAGACGAGAAGACCCUAUAGAGUUUUAUAUAAUACAUUAAUCAAUGAUUAAUUAUUAAUUUAAUUUUUUAAUUUAUUAUAUUU
rnacentral:rRNA from 1 species